rnacentral:rRNA from 1 species
UACAGAGGUCUCAAGCGUUGUUCGGAUUCAUUGGGCGUAAAGGGUGCGUAGGUGGCUUGGUAAGUCGGAUGUGAAAUCCCGGGGCUCAACCCCGGAACUGCAUUCGAUACUGCCAGGCUGGAGUACUGGAGAGGAGAUUGGAAUUUACGGUGUAGCAGUGAAAUGCGUAGAUAUCGUAAGGAAGACCAGUGGCGAAGGCGGAUCUCUGGACAGUUCCUGACGCUGAGGCACGAAGGUCAGGGGAGCAAACGGG